AACAACCAAAUUCUUUGCUGGCCGUUGGGUGCUAAUUGGUGAUCAGCUAUGCUUUCUCCUCUUCCUUCCCUCAAAGCCGUGAACCCAAGAGAAGCAUCACAACAUAAGAAUCUGCAUUCAUUCCUUCUUCUAUUACUUGCAGAAUUAAAGCCAACAUCAUCAUUUUCCUAUGCGUCACUUAUGGAAACCCCAAAGCUGCCUGCUUAUUCACUUCAUCCCUGGACCAAACUCAGCCUUAAUUCCUCUCAAAAUCAUGAGCCUCAUAGAGGAGGAACACAAAGCAUGAUUUUGCAUUUUCUUCCGUUCAUCCUUCCCUCAAACCGUGUGAGCAUAGGAGGAUAACCAAAGUUUAUAAGCACACUCAUCUCAUUCUUCUCCUUCUCUUGUUCGGCUGCAUGUCUACAACCAAGGAGGUGAGAUAAAUUUUCGUUGCCUCCUUGUUCGUUCACACUUGACCAAUUUCUGAUUAAGCCUUCCCCUUUUGCUGGAGCAUGGUUCUGCCUAGAGUGAGUCGCCUCUCCCAUUGCAUGUAGCUGGUUCGACUUCUUGGGACAUUGGAGAGUGUGGUUUCUGAUUAAUCUUGGAUGCUUGAAGGAAGGUGUGCUAACCUCUAAAAGAGUGGGUUGAUUGGUGAUGUUUGAUUAAAAAUGUUAAAGACUCGAGGAGGACGUAAAAACAUUUGAUGAAGUAGUAUUUUGGAUAUCUGUUGUUGAGUGCUGCAGUUUUAAAAUCAUGUUGUUUGUCGCUGUUUAUUUGGCUGUGCUGAAUCUUGACGUUAUGUACUGUUUUGGGGAUUGACCAAGUGAAUGUAGUAUUUUAUUUUGGGAACACACAGUAGCUUGAUUAUUGUAUUUGCUAAGACUUGUGAAAUUCUGUUAUCUUAUUUUGGACAAAACAAUUUCUGCUGUUUAAAUUCGGAUUUUGAGAUUAAGUUUUCGAGCACUUUGCAAGUUCUGUUUCUGGGGCUACAUACAUCCGAUUGGAGUAUAAUUUAUAUGCACUUAAAGCCCCAGGUGUCUAUUUUCAUAUUAUAUAAAGUUUGUGUCCACAACAUCUAAGCAGAUUUUUAUGAUUUUUUCAAGUCAGGUAGUUUUGGAAAUAUUUUCACUCAUUUAUCUCUCACCUUGCGAGUUCUGUUCCGGGAGCUACGGGACUCCGAAUGAGCCAUAAUUUAUAUGUACCUGAAGCCCCACAUGUCUAGUUUCAGAUUAUAUAGACUUUACAAUGAAAUUCUGAAAGCUCAAUUUAUUAUGAUUUUUGCAGCCAGACAGGUUUUCAGGAAAAUUAUUAUUUCAGUAAGCUAUGUUAUUUUAUAAAGUUGCACACUGUUUUCAAGAAAAUUUAGAGUUGUGCAGCGAAAGUUUUCUUUUAAAAUUACUUGCUGAUUCUAUCUUACGAAGCCAGUCUUCCAGGUGAAAGAUUGAAUUAGUAUCAUCAAAAUGUUCUUUUUCAUAAUAAGAAUUUUAUACGAUAACGUUGCGACUCUAAUCGGUUUUAGCAGACACUUCUCUUGGAUACGUACAGGGGAGGGUGUCACAGAGUGUGAGUGUAUAUUCUGAGUUUCCAGACACUGUGAGUGGGUGUGAGUGCUGACCUUGUGUUGUUUGGGUGUUGGGAAGCCAUGGUCAUGGCACUUUGAGAUCCAAGUGGUGACCUUUGGUAAGAAAGUACCAACCUUGAUCAUCAUUUUCGUUUUUCCUUGGGAAGUCAGAACUUGAGGAGUUGUUUGGUGAGCUCCUUGAGCCAUUCUUACUGAGUUUUGAGCUUUGGUAAGCCUUACAACCUUCAAUCAUGAGUUUAAGUGCUUAAAAAUGGAACCUUGAUGCAUGUGACAAGAUAAGAUGAUAACCACACGUUUGGGUAAUGGUUAACACACUUAGAAAGGCAUGUUUAAGCUUCUGUAAUCGAAAAAAGUUGGACCUUUGGUUUGGAUUUUCACGAAAUGCAGAAUCUGGGUUCUGUCGUGAAAUAUUCGGAUAUUUGGUUGGGAAUAUCCGGAUAUUGAUAUCCGGAUAUGGGGAUCUGGAUAUUCGGAUAUUGAUAUCUGGAUAUAGCCAGUGAGAUAUCCGGAUAUUGAUAUCCGGAUAUGCCCCCGACAUAUAUCCGGAUAUUCUGGGAUUUCGAAGAACAGUAGCUGCAUUGUUCAUACAGUAGGCUAUUGGGGGUUUGUGGACCCUAGAUUGAUGAGGUUGAACUUUUGUUUUAAUUGAACUAAGUCAUAAUCAAGUGGUUAAGGGCUUAUGGCUUUGUGUGAAGCUUUAAGACAUAAAUCGUAAGAGGAAAACGUAGUCUUUAUGUUUAUGCUUAUGAGCUAUGAAUGGUGAUAUGCUUGCUGGUCCUAAUCAGAUUGUGAUCUGCUGUGUGUUGGACUUGAGCUGUGUGGACUCUUGGCAGUGGAUAGUGAGCUUGCAAGGUUCAGGUAAUGCGGGGGUUGAGACCUCUAGUGGCAGGAGGCCAGAGCUUAGCUGAUAGAUGUUACAUGUUUAUGCUGCUUUGCUGAUAUACUGUUAUGAUUGGAUGUUGGAUCCUGUUUACUGUCUUAUGCUUUUAGCUUCAGUUUAUGGAUUUAUAUGUUGAGACUUUGUUGGUUAUUCUGUUGAUUGGUGAGCAUGGGGAUUGUCCAUGCCACGUAGACUUGUUUAUUGUCUUGUUUAAUUUGGAGUUGUAUUAAUGUAUCAGGAUAUUGUUCGGACUAUGUGUAGUAGAUCUGUGACAUAGAUACUCACUUUAUCUAUAUAUUGAGGUAU